rnacentral:piRNA from 1 species
UGACACAAACUCACAUGUGAAAAAAAUGG